AUGUAGAGCUACUUGAAAUUUUGCUUUUAAACUCUUCCCAAUGAUGUCUUAUUUCAAAACAAGAUGGAAGUUUUUCAGGACUGAAACUUUCCCCAGUUUUUGUUGAACCUCUCUCAAAAUCUCCAGAUUUCAACAGAAACAGUCAUACUGCACCCCACUUUGAAAGUUUCUUUUGAAUUCCUGUGAGGAAAUCUGUGAUUUUUAUUUGUGCGUCAUCUUGACUUCAAAGGUGUAGGAAAACAUUUCAGAACCCAUGGGUUUGGUCAACGGGCCUAGUUUGGUUGCUGAUCGGGACGAUGUGUCCUCAGACUGCUACAAAACCAGAGCUGCAGAAAAAUGCAGCUGAUGCGACCGAUGCUGACUCAACUCCAGGGGAUGGAAACGCAAGCCAGAUUGAAGCCAGAGGACUUCAACAUCAGCAGAAAUGCCUUUUAAAGAAGAAACAGUUGUUGAAGCUGUGGCAGCAGGAAGGUGCCUUGUGGUGGAUAGAGAGGGUUUUGGUGCCCUGUAUGUUCUUGAGGAUAGUAUCUGAACUUUUUGCUGUGCAGCCCAACCUCUGUUCGGAGACUAACUUCCUAAGCUGA
rnacentral:lncRNA from 1 species